GGGCAGCGAUGAAGGGGUGCGACGAUGCCGGGCGGACAGGGCUUGGUCUCCGGACCGCCCGAGGGUGCCGUCGAGCUGCCGAUGAUGGUGGGGGAUGGCCAAGCCCACAUUUUUAACCGGUUCUUCCU
rnacentral:snoRNA from 1 species